ensembl:Mt_tRNA
GAGACACUAGUAGAACUGGUAAAAUACACUGCCUUGUCAAGGCAUAGAUGCGGGUUAAAACCCCGCGUGUUUCA